rnacentral:lncRNA from 1 species
CAAAUAAUUAUGAUUAUACAAAUUCUAUUUUGCCCUCAGGUCAGAAGAAACUAUUUCCUACUUAUUCUUUCCUUUCCCUGAAAAUAAUCUUGGCCAAAGGAAUAAUCUUGGCAAAAGGAAAAAAUCUUGGCCAAUGGAAGACUCUCCUCAGCAAUCUGUAUCUCAGAAGGACCAGAUGAGAAAACUAACCAGUAUCCGUCAUCAUUGUCUCUGGGCCAAUGGAAGCAAGCGCCUGAAUGAGUCAGCUCCCAUCAGCCCUAACUGGGACAAUUCUUCAGAAAGACAGGCAGCUGCAUACUUACAUCACCUAGGAGAUGGAAGCCACCAGCCCAGCAAAGAGAUCUGAAGAAGUUAGAAGCAAAGGAAAGGUCAACAAAAGAGAGAAUCUCUGUCCUGAUGUCCACGAACUGCUUGCUCCAGCUUUCUCACCUUAGGGUUUAACUCCAAGAUCAUUUCACCAAGUUAACCCUCAGUUACUGUUGCCAGCAGAUGGGGAAUCUUGUCCAAAGUAUCAGAACAAGAGCAAAGCAAGCUUGCAAGAAACCGAAUUACCCAGCUAUUAAACAAAGACAGGAGGCAAGAAAGAUCAUACCCACACUAAAGGAAGCUUAGAAUUUUAAUACCCUCCAAUGUUAAAGAACUAAACUUCUUUAUGUUUAUAAGAUUCCCUUCAUUACUCAUGCCUCUACCACCAACCCCAUCUCCUGCCCCAGCCACUUUACAGACACUUCAUAUCUAAAUAUUUACAAAUCAGGAAGAAAUAAGAAAAACUUUAAUGACUGCUGUUUUGUCAUACUGGCAAGGAUUCCCCCUAUGAGUGACAACUCAUGACCAUUAGCAGAGGAAUUCCUGCCCCAGAUAAGCAUCUGAGGGUUUGAUAUGCUGCGAUUUUAAAAGUUUGAAAUAAUAAACACAAUUUCACUAAAGGCA